UUGUCUGUUAUGUUGAACUCAGACGCAAAGACAUACAACUGUAUAAAAGCGACGCCAAAGACGCCGAAGCACAUCUCACUUCCACAUGUUUGUAGAGUCAAGGGCCAAUAGCGGCCAUUCAAUAAUGAUCCCUCCGCAGGUUCACCUACGGAGA
rnacentral:misc_RNA from 1 species